rnacentral:misc_RNA from 1 species
GAACGCAUCUUGCGCCCAGUGGUAUUCCGCUGGGCAUGCCUGUCUGAGUGUCGUUACUUCUCAUAAGUAAUACUUUUGUGUUAUGUUAUGGAUUGUGGGUGUUGUAAGGCUUUGGCUUUACACACCUCAAAUGUAAUCCGGUUUGUACUUGAUUUUACGGCUUGACCGAAUGUUGUAGAUUGUACACUUCAUUUGGGACGUGAGAAUAAAGAUGAGACCUAGACGACAUGUAACUUUCAAUUUUGACCUCAGAUCAGGUAGGAUUACCCGCUGAACUUAAGC